UUUAUCGGAGAGUUUGAUCCUGGCUCAGGACGAACGCUGGCGGCGUGCCUAAUACAUGCAAGUCGAGCG
rnacentral:rRNA from 2 species